rnacentral:rRNA from 1 species
GACGAACGCUGGCGGCGUGCUUAACACAUGCAAGUCGAACGAUGAAGCCUAGCUUGCUAGGUGGAUUAGUGGCGAACGGGUGAGUAAUACGUGAGUAACCUACCUUUAACUCUGGGAUAAGCCUGGGAAACUGGGUCUAAUACCGGAUACGACCAGUCUCCGCAUGGGGUGUUGGUGGAAAGCGUUAUGUAGUGGUUAUAGAUGGGCUCACGGCCUAUCAGCUUGUUGGUGAGGUAACGGCUCACCAAGGCGACGACGGGUAGCCGGCCUGAGAGGGUGACCGGCCACACUGGGACUGAGACACGGCCCAGACUCCUACGGGAGGCAGCAGUGGGGAAUAUUGCACAAUGGGCGCAAGCCUGAUGCAGCGACGCCGCGUGAGGGAUGACGGCCUUCGGGUCGUAAACCUCUGUUAGCAGGGAAGAAGAGAGAUUGACGGUACCUGCAGAGAAAGCGCCGGCUAACUACGUG